rnacentral:rRNA from 1 species
CUGNCGGCGUGCCUAACACAUNCAAGUCGAGCGGUGCUACGGAGGUCUUCGGACUGAAGUAGCAUAGCGGCGGACGGGUGAGUAAUACACAGGAACGUGCCCCUUGGAGGCGGAUAGCUGUGGGAAACUGCAGGUAAUCCGCCGUAAGCUCGGGAGAGGAAAGCCGGAAGGCGCCGAGGGAGCGGCCUGUGGCCCAUCAGGUAGUUGGUAGGGUAAGAGCCUACCAAGCCGACGACGGGUAGCCGGUCUGAGAGGAUGGACGGCCACAAGGGCACUGAGACACGGGCCCUACUCCUACGGGAGGCAGCAGUGGGGGAUAUUGGACAAUGGGCGAAAGCCUGAUCCAGCGACGCCGCGUGAGGGACGAAGUCCUUCGGGACGUAAACCUCUGUUGUAGGGGAAGAAGACAGUGACGGUACCCUACGAGGAAGCCCCGGCUAACUACGUGCCAGCAGCCGCGGUAAUACGUAGGGGNCGAGCGUUACCCGGAAUCACUGGGCGUAAAGGGUGCGUAGGCGGUCUAGCAAGUCUGGCCUUAAAGACCACGGCUCAACCGUGGGGAUGGGCUGGAAACUGUUAGACUUGAGGGCACUAGAGGCAGACGGAACUGCUGGUGUAGGGGUGAAAUCCGUAGAUAUCAGCAGGAACGCCGGUGGAGAAGUCGGUCUGCUGGGGUGACCCUGACGCUGAGGCACGAAAGCUAGGGGAGCGAACCGGAUUAGAUACCCGGGUAGUCCUAGCCGUAAACGAUGCUCACUAGGUGUGGGGGAGUAAAUCCUCCGUGCUGAAGCUAACGCGAUAAGUGAGCCNCCUGGGGAGUACGCCCNCAAGGGUGAAACUCAAAGGAAUUGACGGGGGNCCGCACAANCGGUGGAGCGUGUGGUUUAAUUGGAAGCUAAGCCAAGAACCUUACCAGGGUUUGACAUUCUGGUGGUACCGANCCGAAAGGUGAGGGACUCUUCACUUAGGUGGAGGGAGCCAGCACAGGUGGUGCACGGUCGUCGUCAGCUCGUGCCGUGAGGUGUUGGGUUAAGUCCCGCAACGAGCGCAACCCCUGCCCUUAGUUGCCAGCACGUAAAGGUGGGCACUCUAAGGGGACUGCCUGCGACGAGCAGGAGGAAGGAGGGGAUGACGUCAGAUACUCGUGCCCCUUAUGCCCUGGGCGACACACGCGCUACAAUGGGCAGGACAAAGGGAAGCGAGCCGGCGACGGUGAGCAAAUCCCAAAAACCUGCCCCCAGUUCAGAUUGUGGGCUGAAACCCGCCCACAUGAAGCCGGAAUCGCUAGUAAUCGUGGAUCAGCCACGCCACGGUGAAUACGUNCCCGGGNCUUGUACACACCGCCCGUCAAGCCACCCGAGUUGGGGGNACCCGAAGAUACGUACCCUUAGGGGGCGUAUUUAGGGUGAACCUGGUGAGGGGGGGUNGUCGGAAGUC